rnacentral:rRNA from 1 species
AACGAACGCUGGCGGCAGGCUUAACACAUGCAAGUCGAGCGCCUCGCAAGAGGAGCGGCAGACGGGUGAGUAACGCGUGGGAACGUACCCUUAUCUUCGGAAUAGCUCUGGGAAACUGGAAGUAAUACCGAAUGUGCCCUUAGGGGGAAAGAUUUAUCGGAUAAGGAUCGGCCCGCGUUGGAUUAGCUAGUUGGUGGGGUAAAGGCCUACCAAGGCGACGAUCCAUAGCUGGUCUGAGAGGAUGAUCAGCCACAUUGGGACUGAGACACGGCCCAAACUCCUACGGGAAGCAGCAGUGGGGAAUAUUGGACAAUGGGCGCAAGCCUGAUCCAGCCAUGCCGCGUGAGUGAUGAAGGCCUUAGGGUUGUAUAGCUCUUUCACCGGAGAAGAUAAUGACGGUAUCCGGAGAAGAAGCCCCGGCUAACUUCGUG